AUUGAACGCUGGCGGCAUGCCUUACACAUGCAAGUCGAACGGUAACAGGUCUUUCGGGAUGCUGACGAGUGGCGAACGGGUGAGUAAUACAUCGGAACGUGCCUAGUAGUGGGGGAUAACUACUCGAAAGAGUGGCUAAUACCGCAUGAGAUCUAUGGAUGAAAGCAGGGGACCUUCGGGCCUUGUGCUACUAGAGCGGCCGAUGGCAGAUUAGGUAGUUGGUGGGAUAAAAGCUUACCAAGCCUACGAU
rnacentral:rRNA from 1 species